rnacentral:rRNA from 1 species
GUGGUUAAGCUACAAAGAGUGUAUGGUGGAUGCCUUGGCGUCCAGAGCCUAUGAAGGACGUGGCCAAGCUGCGAUAAGCUCCGGGGAGCCGCCUAGCAGGCUUUGAUCCGGAGAUCUCCGAGAUCGGGAAACCGGUCGGAAAUCAUUUUCCGACGACGCGAAAGCGUUGGGAACGUGGGGAACUGAAACAUCUCAGUACCCACAGGAACAGAAAGAAACCUCGACUCCCCUAGUAGCGGCGAGCGAACGGGGACCAGCCCAAACCGAUGCAGUGCCAAGCUUACGGGCGUUGCUGCAUCGGGGUCGCGGGAUCCACAGGUCCUCCGUAUAGGACCGAGGAAGUUACCAAACUCAUCUCUAGAUGAACGGCAUGGGAAGGCCGGCCGCAGAGGGUGAAAGCCCCCUAGUCGACAGAGAUGAGUCUUCCGUGGCGAUCCCAAGUAGCACCAGACACGAGAAACCUGGUGUGAAUUAGGGGGGACCACCCCCCAAGGCUAAGUACUACUGGACGACCGAUAGCGUAAUAGUAGCGCGAGCGAAAGGUGAAAAGAACCCCUGUUAGGGGAGUGAAAUAGUACCUGAAACCAUACACUUACGAGCUGUCGGAGGCCUAUGGCCCCUCGGGGCAAUGGCUGACGGCGUGCCUUUUGCAUAAUGAUCCUGCGAGUUGCUUUAUCUGGCAAGGUUAAGGACCUCAGGUCCGCAGCCGAAGGGAAACCGAGUGUGAAUAGCGCGACUCAAGUCAGAUGGAGCAGACCCGAAAGCAAGUGAUCUAACCAUGAGCAGGUUGAAGCGGAUGUAACAAUCCGUGGAGGACCGAACAGGUAUGGGUUGAAAACCGUUCUGAUGACUUGUGGUUAGGAGUGAAAGGCUUAUCAAACUUGCAAAUAGCUGGUUCUCCCCGAAAUAGCUUUUGGGCUAGCCUCUGGUAAAUUAAUCGACGGGGGUAGAGCGACUGAAUGGGAUAAAGGGCCUUCGGGCUACUUUACCCAAUCAAACUCCGAAUACCGUUGAUCGUACCCAGGGAGUCAGACUACGAGCGAUAAGGUUCGUGGUCGAGAGGGAAACAGCCCAGAUCGUCAGCUAAGGUCCCUAAUGUGCGCUAAGUGCAGUGAAGGAAGUGGGAUCUCUAAGACAGUCAGGAUGUUGGCUUAGAAGCAGCCAUCAUUUAAAGAGUGCGUAACAGCUCACUGAUCGAGAGGUCCUGCGCCGAAAAUGAACGGGGCUCAAGUGCACAACCGAAGCUACGACAUGUAACGAAUCGCUGAUUCGUUGCUUGGGUAGGGGAGCGUUCCAAACGGGUGAAGGUCGACGGUAACGACGACUGGACGUUCUGGAAGUGAUUAUGCAGGAAUAAGUAGCGAGAAAACAGGUGAGAAUCCUGUUCGCCGUAAACCUAUGGGUUCCUGGGCACGGUAAAUCCGCCCAGGGUUAGUCGGACCCUAAGACGAGGCUGAAAGGCGUAGUCGAUGGAAGACAGGCUAAUAUUCCUGUACCACCGAGAUUGCGUUGAUCGAUGGGGGGACGCGGAAAGCAAAGUCGUCGCACUGUUAGCUUAGUGCGUACAAGCCCGAGGAUGGCCUGAUAGGAAAAUCCGCAGGCGUAAUUCCGGAGGUGAUGUCGAGUCUCACGACGAAGCGACUGGACCAACCGCCAAGAAAAUCCUCUAGGGAGUGGUCUCGGUGUCCGUACCUAAACCGACACAGGUGGGUGAGGUGAAUAUCCUAAGGCGCUCGAGAGAACUGCUGUUAAGGAACUCGGCAAAUUAACCCCGUAACUUCGGGAUAAGGGGAACCCUUCGAGGUGGAGGCCUUCGCGGCUGAAGCCCCAAAGGGUCGCAGAGAAAUGGCCCAACCGACUGUUUACUAAAAACACAGGUCUGUGCUAAGUCCGAACGACGAUGUAUACAGACUGACGCGUGCCCAAUGCCGGAAGGUUAAGAGGAGGAGUUAGCGCAAGCGAAGCUUCGAAUUGAAGCCCCGGUGAAUGGCGGCCGUAACUAUGACGGUCCUAAGGUAGCGAAGUUCCUUGUCGGGUAAGUUCCGACCCGCAUGAAUCGCGUAACGAGUUGGGCUCUGUCUCAACAGCAGACUCGGCGAACUUGUAGCCGUGGUGAAGAUGCCACGUUCCCGCGCCAAGACGGAAAGACCCCGUGAACCUUCACUAUAGCCUGAUAUUGGGGCUUGUUAUGACGUGCGUAGCAUAGGUGGGAGACGUUGAAUCCUGGCUUCUGGGCCGGGUGGAGUCGUCAGUGAAAUACCACUCUCGUCCUGAUAGGUUCCUAACGAAACACCGUGAAUCCGGGUUUCGAACAGUGUCAGGUGGGUAGUUUGGCUGGGGCGGUCUCCUCCAAAAGAGUAACGGAGGAGCACGAUGGUGCACUCAGCGCGGUCGGCAAUCGCGCGUCGAGCGUAAGGGUAUAAGUGCGCCUGACUGCGAGAGAUAUAGCUCAAGCAGAAACGAAAGUUGGUCCUAGUGAUCCGGCGGAUUCCGAGUGGAAGGGCCGUCGCUCAUCAGAUAAAAGGUACUCCGGGGAUAACAGGCUGAUCGCCUCCAAGAGUUCAUAUCGACGAGGCGGUUUGGCACCUCGAUGUCGGCUCAUCGCAUCCUGGGGCUGAAGGAGGUCCCAAGGGUUUGGCUGUUCGCCAAUUAAAGCGGUACGCGAGCUGGGUUUAGACCGUCGUGAGACAGGUCGGUCCCUAUCUGGCGUGGGUGUAGGAUGAUUGCGGAGGUUUUCCCCUAGUACGAGAGGAUUGGGGAGGACGGUCCUCUGGUGCUCCAGUUAUCACGCUAGUGGUACAGCUGGGUAGCUAUGACCGGAACGGAUAAGCGCUGAAUGCAUCUAAGCGCGAAGCCUUCUCCUAAACGAAUCAUCCCUAUCAGUCCCCUAGGAGACUACUAGGUUGAUAGGCCGGCGGUGUAAACGUGGCGACACGUGAGCUUACCGGUACUAAUCGGACGAUCGGCUUAGCCACCUUUUUC